rnacentral:rRNA from 1 species
CAAUAGCGUAUAUUAAAGUUGUUGCAGUUAAAAAGCUCGUAGUUGGAUUUGUGGUGUACUUUGGCGGCCCGUCACUAUGUGAUGGAGCUUGCUGAAGUCGCCAUCCUUGGGUGGAUCCUGUGUGGCAUUAAGUUGUCGUGCAGGGGAUGCCCAUCGUUUACUGUGAAAAAAUUAGAGUGUUCAAAGCAGGCUUAUGCCGUUGAAUAUAUUAGCAUGGAAUAAUAAGAUAGGACCUUGGUACUAUUUUGUUGGUUUGCGCACCAAGGUAAUGAUUAAUAGGGACAGUUGGGGGUAUUCGUAUUUCAUUGUCAGAGGUGAAAUUCUUGGAUUUUUGAAAGACAAGCUACUGCGAAAGCAUUUACCAAGGAUGUUUUCAUUAA